rnacentral:rRNA from 1 species
UACGGAGGGUGCGAGCGUUAUCCGGAAUUACUGGGUUUAAAGGGUGCGUAGGCGGCGUAGUAAGUCAGGAGUGAAAGUUUGCGGCUCAACCGUAAAAUUGCUUUUGAUACUGCUAUGCUAGAAUUAGGAUGAGGUCAGCGGAAUGUGGCAUGUAGCGGUGAAAUGCAUAGAUAUGCCAUAAAACACCAAUUGCGAAGGCAGCUGGCUAGACCUGGAUUGACGCUGAGGCACGAAAGCGUGGGGAGCGAACAGG